UUUAUAAAAAGAAUUCAUAUUGAGACACAUGGGUGCAAUGCUUUGUGGGCGGCAAAAAUGAGUGGCAUCAGAAUUUGUUUAAAUUGCUACAUGUAUAACAAGUACAGUUGUAGAGCAGCUACAUGGCCCGAAGAAAUGGGAGGAACGCAGUUAGAUGUUAGGCUGUUAAAUUGCAUUAACAAUUGGUCAUACCGAUGGAAAACGCUAUGUCCAACGAAUUACACCCUAUACAUCAAUCACAAACUUAAGCCUCGGAGACAUUUAUAGACAAUCUCCAUCUAGGCUUCGUUAAAUGGAUACACUUCUACAAGGAACAGUUGCAUGUCAUAUCGGAGGAAAGAAGGCCAAGUUACCGUUAGAUGUUAGGCCGUUGGAGCUCAGCAAUGGUCGGCCAAGCGAUGGAAUCGCUAGCUUGGAGAGCGCAGGACCAGAAGGUUCAAUUCUUGGGACA
rnacentral:lncRNA from 1 species